UUGUUAAUGAUAUGAUAUGAUGGUAAGCAUAUUAGAUGCCCCCUCCCCCCAAUUGGUCAUUGUGUUAUUUUAGUUCAUAACUAUUUUCACAAACUUACCUUGUCCUAGCAGCUGUAAGACCAAAACUAGGAAGCUAAUUAGAUUGUAGCAAAAAGUGUAGUUUAAGUCUGCAGAAAAACGUGGAGGAAACCCCCAACCCAAUUGGCUCAUAAAAGGUUUCAGGGCAGCAGUUGAGGGAAGCAGUCUAAGGGACUUCGAAUUCCAGGGAGAUACCAAUUAACCAAUACACUGGAGAAAUGGAGGGGUUCACAAAACUGGAUUUAAGCCAAAUUAGAUAGGAUCUUAACCUCUGAUUUCUGAACACUAGGGCUACAUCGGUUGAAGCUUCGAAGAGCAAUCAUCUCGCACUGUAUCUCCACCUAAAUAUCUCUACUUCAAGGCGGCGUAACUACUUAUAGGUUCAUUUUUGAAAAUUUGUGGCUCAAAGAAAGCCUCCAAAGUUGGGAUUCAACUCCUUACCAUAAUUGAGAGAUGUUGGAAAGCUGUGUGGGAACUGGGAAUGGGGUAAAAAAAUUUCAGGGGACUUAUGAUAUUGAUUUUUGUGUGAUUCUAGACUAGUUAUUAUGUUUGAAUUGAACUUGUUAUGAACUAUUUAUAACAUUUUAUAAACUUGUAAGUAUUAAUAUGUUUGAAUAAUUGUAGGUUCAUAUGUAAUUCUAGAAUACCGACCUAGGCUUUUAUUUAACCAAAGCACACCCCAACUCUGCUCAUUUUCAUCCAUCAUACUUUGUUUCUUGGUAAAACCAAUUGAAUCCAGCCAGUAGCUGAUCCAGAAUUUUGAAUAUUAAAUAUUUGGGAAAAAUUAGUAUUAAUUGAGUAUAUAAUAAGAAUUUAUAUGAUAUAAUUUUUCAAUUUAUAGCCAUAGAUUUGGCCCUGAAUCCAGUUUUGUUUUCUGUGUGCCCAACUUUUGUUUAUGUUUCUACCUAUAACAAGAAAGAGGUGAAAGGAUUUGGAAGAAAGGUUUUAUUAUCAUCAUCUUACAGUAGGGGUAGCUUACAGCUUAUAUACAGAGAGUCUUAGAGCAAGAAAAGAAAGCUAACUACUUUGCUGAGAUCACUAAGUAACAAACUGUGAAUAGUAAAAACAGUUUUAACUGCUUCUAACUAACUUAACAGCUAGGCACAGUAAAACCUGAAACACUAAAAGAUUAAGUCUUGUUUUCAGCUUGAGCUUGAUUGUCUUCUAACAUCCCCGCAAGCUGGAUCAUACAUAUUAUGUAGGCCAAACUUGGAUAUGUAGGACAUGAAACUUGAUGGAGAAUGAGGUUUGGUGAACACAUUAGCUAGCUGACUUUGGGAUGAAACAUGUAGCAGCUUGAUUACUCCACUCUGCAAUUUUUCCUUUAUGAGCAGGUGUAUGAAGAUUAACUUCCAAGGCUUUCAACAAGUAACAUAGCCACUGAAUCUCACAAAAGGUUGCAGCAAUUGCCCUAUAUUCAGCCUCUGAGGAGGACCUUGACAUAGUUAAUUGUUUCUUUGCCUUCCAAGAAAUCAAAGCUGUUCCCAGAAAUAUGCAGAAGGUAGUCUAUUGAUUAUGUAUACAACAUGUAAAAUGCACUCUCCCCAAAAAUAAUUAGGCAGGUUGGCUUGAGUUUUUAAAGCUCUGGCUGUGGACAAAAUGUGACCAUGCUUCAUUUCCACUACACUGUUUUGUUGGGGGGUGUAUAUACAGGAGGUUUGAUGUAAUAUCCUUGUCUGUGAAUAGAACUCUGACAUUGUGAAUUCUUUUC